GCAGGUGCCGAAAGGCAUAAUAGGGAAUCCGGUGCGGAGGAAUCCAAAGCCGGAGCGGUCCCGCCACUGUAAGGGGAGGGGCGCUGCAUGAUGUCACUGGACAGGGAAGAGCCUGUCUGGGAAGGCGUAGCGCACCGAUGAACCGAGUCAGGAGAACUGCCUGCUUG
rnacentral:ncRNA from 1 species